rnacentral:rRNA from 1 species
UACGUAGGGGGCAAGCGUUGUCCGGGUUUAUUGGGCGUAAAGAGCGUGUAGGCGGCCAUACAGGUCAGCUGUGAAAACUCGAGGCUCAACCUCGAGACGUCGGUUGAAACCGUAUGGCUAGAGUCCGGAAGAGGAGAGUGGAAUUCCCGGUGUAGCGGUGAAAUGCGCAGAUAUCGGGAAGAACACCCGUGGCGAAGGCGGCUCUCUGGGACGGUACUGACGCUGAGACGCGAAAGCGUGGGGAGCGAACAGG